rnacentral:rRNA from 1 species
UACUACGGGAGGCAGCAGUAGGGAAUCUUCCGCAAUGGACGAAAGUCUGACGGAGCAACGCCGCGUGAGCGAUGAAGGCCUUCGGGUCGUAAAGCUCUGUUGUCAGGGAAGAACAAGUACCGGAGUAACUGCCGGUACCUUGACGGUACCUGACCAGAAAGCCACGGCUAACUACGUGCCAGCAGCCGCGGUAAUACGUAGGUGGCAAGCGUUGUCCGGAAUUAUUGGGCGUAAAGCGCGCGCAGGCGGUUCCUUAAGUCUGAUGUGAAAGCCCCCGGCUCAACCGGGGAGGGUCAUUGGAAACUGGGGAACUUGAGUGCAGAAGAGGAGAGCGGAAUUCCACGUGUAGCGGUGAAAUGCGUAGAGAUGUGGAGGAACACCACUGGCGAAGGCGGCUCUCUGGUCUGUAACUGACGCUGAGGCGCCAAAGCGUGGGGAGCGAACAGGAUUAGAUACCCUGGUAGUCCACGCCGCAAACAAUGAGUGCUAAGUGUUAGAGGGUUUUCGCCCUUUAGUGCUGCAGCAAACACAUUAAACACUCCCC